AUUGAACGCUGGCGGAAUGCUUUACACAUGCAAGUCGAACGGCAGCACGGACUUCGGUCUGGUGGCGAGUGGCGAACGGGUGAGUAAUAUAUCGGAACGUAUCCAAUAAUGGGGGAUAACUAAUCGAAAGGUUGGCUAAUACCGCAUACGUCCUACGGGAGAAAGCUAGGGACCUUCGGGCCUGGCGUUAAUGGAGCGGCCGAUAUCGGAUUAGCUAGUUGGUGAGGUAAAGGCUCACCAAGGCGACGAUCCGUAGCUGGUCUGAGAGGACGACCAGCCACACUGGAACUGAGACACGGUCCAGACUCCUACGGGAGGCAGCAGUGGGGAAUUUUGGACAAUGGGCGCAAGCCUGAUCCAGCCAUUCCGCGUGAGUGAAGAAGGCCUUCGGGUUGUAAAGCUCUUUCGCAAGGGAAGAAAACUUAUCCUCUAACAUAGGAUGAGGUUGACGGUACCUUGAUAAGAAGCACCGGCUAACUACGUGCCAGCCGCCGCAGUAA
rnacentral:rRNA from 1 species